GCCCGCUUGGCUUAGGGGUAAAGCGUGCCACUCGUAUUACCGUAAGCGGUAAUUCCUUAUAUGGCAAGAUCAGUCGUUCGAAUCGGCUAGUGGGCA